GGAUGCUCUGUGUACGAAGAUUGUUU
rnacentral:piRNA from 1 species